AUGCCGAGGACAUUGCCCUUGAUGGCGGUGCAGAGGCACACACCGGGGUCGAGGUCGGGGAGCCCGCCCAGCAGCGGGCAGCAGUCGUCGCUCGCCAGCACGCCUAGGUUGAGCUUUAGCAGGUUCAGUAUGUUGGUGCACACCUUCAGCUUCAGCAUGUUGAUCGAGCAGGUGCCGCUGCCGCCUUCGGUCGUCGGCAGGGUUGGGACUGGGGUGGCGGGCGGGGGCACGGCGAUCGGCGGAGUUGGCACUGGGACGGCCGGUGUAUUGCCGCAGCACGACCAGCAGCCAUGCACGGCUGCCACGAGACCAGGUUCAGGGCGAGGAAGAGGGCGAGCUUGGAUGGCGCCAUUGCUAUGUUGA
rnacentral:rRNA from 1 species